GCUGGGUGUGGUGGUGCAUGCUUGUAAUCCCAGGCACUCAGGAGGCUGAGGCAGCAGGAUUACAAGUUUGAGGCCAGCCUCAGAAAUUAAUGAAGACUCAGUAACUUAGUGAGACCUUGUCUCAA
rnacentral:sRNA from 1 species